AUAUUUAUCUGGUGAAUGAGAUUCCGUGACAAUGAACGUGGUUUACCCAGUGCAAGGCUUGUCCAUUGCACGUUGGGUGUGCUGACCCCUGUGAUUUCCCCACAUGUGGAAAACCUGACUGUGGAAAUCCUGACUGUGGAAUUUGUGCUGGUUGGGAACUGUGUAACUGCUUUUCCCUG
rnacentral:snRNA from 1 species